UUGCGAAUUGGGAGGCCGGCCGUGACCGUGAGCCUGUCUGUGAUCCGCGCGGGAGGGGGGGAGGGAGCGCGGAGCGAGCGGGCGAGGAAUGGACGGGAGGCGCCCGGGCUUUUUAUCGGGGAAGAAAUGGCAAGUCCCCUUCCGCGGACGUGCAGUGCACAAGCGCGGCGGCAAAGGCAACAGCGACCCCACCCGCCCCGCCCGCGUGUUAUUUCCGGCCCCGGGCCUCGGUGGCGCGCCCAGUUUGACGACGCUGCCCCCCGCCCCGCGCUCCUGCCUCCCUGUUUCGGCCGGACACCUGUCGCGGCCUGGGCCGCUCGGCUCGCGGAAACGGCGAAAAGGAACGUGAACAACAUGGCGCGCUGCGGGCCACGCGCGUUCGGAGCGGUGAGAGCUGGAUCCAGAGACUGGAUGCCGAGGGGGUAG
rnacentral:misc_RNA from 1 species